UACGUAGGGGGCAAGCGUUGUCCGGAUUUAUUGGGCGUAAAGAGCGUGUAGGCGGCCAUGCAGGUCAGCUGUGAAAACUCGAGGCUCAACCUCGAGACGUCGGUUGAAACCGUAUGGCUAGAGUCCGGAAGAGGAGAGUGGAAUUCCCGGUGUAGCGGUGAAAUGCGUAGAUAUCGUCUGGAACGCCAAAGGUGAAAACAGACUGCUGGGAGUGUGCUGACGCUGAGACACGAAAGCCAGGGGAGCAAACGGG
rnacentral:rRNA from 1 species